GCAUAUCAUAAGCGGAGGAAAAUGAAACUAAAGAUUCCCUAGUAACGGCGAGUGAAGCGGGAAAAGCUCAACUUUGUAAUCUGGCUGUUUCRCAGUCCGAGUUGUAGUCUCGAGAAAUGAUAUCCGCGCCGGACCUUAGACAUGUCUGUUGGAAUACAGUGUCAAAGAGGGUGAGAAUCCCGUACAUACUAAGGACGACCGUGUGCAUUGUGAUACGUUUUCAAAGAGUCGAGUUGUUUGGGAAUGCAGCUCAAAUCGGGUGGUAAACUCCAUCUAAAGCUAAAUAUUGGCGAGAGACCGAUAGCGAACAAGUACCGUGAGGGAAAGAUGAAAAGCACUUUGGAAAGAGAAUGAAAUAGUAUGUGAAAUUGCUGGAUGGGAAACGUUUGAGGUUAGACUUGCUUUUGUGGUAUUCAGCCGAAAGGUGUACUUGCCACAUAAUGCAGGCCAGCAUCAGUUUGAGCCGUUGUAAAAGGGUAGAGAGAACGUAGCUUGCUCGCAAGUGUUAUAGCUCACUACUGGAUGCAAAGGUUUGGACUGAGGAACGCAGCGCGCCGCAAGGUAAAGCUUUCAAGCUUAAAGCGCUUAGGAUGCUGGUAGAAUAGCCUUAACCGACCCGUCUUGAAACACGGACCAAGGAGUCUAACAUGCCUGCGAGUGUUUGAGUGUCAAACUCGAGCGCGUAAUGAAAGUGAAUGAAGGUGGGAUCCGUAAGGUGCACCAUCGACCGGUCUUGAUCUAUUGGGAUGGAUCUGAGUAAGAGCAUGUAUGUUGGGACCCGAAAGAUGGUGAACUAUGCCUGAAUAGGGUGAAGCCAGAGGAAACUCUGGUGGAGGCUCGUAGCGGUUCUGACGUGCAAAUCGAUCGUCAAAUUUGGGUAUAGGGGGCGAAAGACUAAUC
rnacentral:rRNA from 1 species